ensembl:lncRNA
GUUCCUGGGCAAAGUGUUAUGCUCUCAAAGGUGAUAGGGGCAUAAUUUGUUCUGGGCCGGGCAGGGCUCCAGCUAGUAUUAAUGAUGGAUUUAGGAUGAGAGUGCAGGCAGCACAUGACGAACACCAAGGAGACAUUUUUCCUGUGUGUAUGAAGACCUGUGGUGAGAAUCUAAAGCAUCCUAAGGAUACCACUCUGCAACUGUUCAAACUUGUGGGCAUAAACUACAAUCUUGUGUAAUGCAAUAGACAGUAACUGCUUUCCCACACAAACUAGCUGUAAGCACAAUUUGAGUAAUUGACAGCUGUUAUUUUUCUUUCCCUAUGAUUGUUUAUUUUCAAAGGGCAGAAAUAAGGACAAACUUGGCCUUUCUUCAUGGCAUGCAACAGCCCGCCUCUGAUCUCUGCAGCCCGUGUGUACCUGUAAGCUCUCCCAAGCAAGAAUGUGAACAUCAGACCUAGCCUACAGCACUGGAUUUAAGAUGCUCUCCAACCUACCCUGGAGAUCCAUCUUGACAUGAGCACCAUGCUUGAGGCAGAGAGAUGUUGCAGACCAUUACCAGCACUUUGGCAUAGGAUCUUGACAGCAAGUCUGAAAAGAUUUCUUUAUGGAUUCUUCACUAUGUAAUUCUGCUUCUGUGAGGUAUGUGAGUUACAGCAACCUUACCAAUAUAACUUUUAGCCUAUAAAUAGUCAGAGCAGGUUGAGGUCAAGUUUUGGAGAGGGAGGGCUGGAUAAGCAGGCUUCUCACUAGGUCUGAAGAUGAAGUGUUGAGGUGAGGUCAGGUAUGUAAAGUUUUUUUUGAGUAAUGUUUCCUCUGACGUGCCAAGCAUCCCAGUUUUGGUGUGCGUGCUACUGCUGAUUCUUUGGAAUAUGCAGAUCUUGCAGAGCUGUGAGUUGGCUGGAGUAAAUGAAGGCGGAUGCUAACUGAAAAUGCAUAGCACAGGGUUUGACUGUCACUGUUCAAUUCAUUUAUAUUUGUAUGCUUAGGAUAAGACAUUCUCUUGAUGCUCUUAUGCUACUGGUUAGAAUAGAAACCUGAGAAGUUGUUUGUCCUCUGUCCUCACCAACCUUCUCAUUCUGCAAUCCUCUGAUGUGCAUGAGCUUGCAGAGUAUGAGUUUGCAUGCCUUGCAGAGUGUUAGGUCUCUUUGGGCUACAAAUUAGCCUUGUGUGGACUUGAGAGCUACUACUACGGGUGGUAGACCUCAGGUCUAUCAAAUAUUUGGGCCCUCGAGGGAACGUAAGGAGGCAUGGAAACGUACUGUUUGUAUAACUUGUUUUGCUGUAAUAGUGGUGAAUAUGAAGAACAGUGGUUCUUUGGAGGUGGUGACAACUCAAAUGAUGGAGCAAGUCAGGAUGAGCAAAGCUAGCAUGGGAAAGAGCAGUUGAAGAGUAGGGGCUGUCAUGUGGUAGGUCUCCAGCACCUUCUGCACCAUCCCUUGUUCUGGAUGCUGUCAUUAAUCUGUCUGCAAGUUGUCCUUCCUUAUUGUUGGCCCUUUCUUGAUUGCUCCUUGCCAUCACCAUAGACGGAACACAAACUAUGUAAGAGGCAAACUAAAGAAGUAGCAGGGAGAGCAGGAGGCACUGCUUAUGGUAGUUUGGACUUGUUUGAGAAGCCACGCCCUGUGAGGCUAUGUGGCUGAAGUGGCAGAUUUGCAGUGACUUGCCUCCGUGACAUUAAGAGCAUCAGUGCAACACAGAGUGCUAUUCAUUGUU